rnacentral:lncRNA from 1 species
CUUGUUUCUCCUGAGAAAAUUCAAAACAAAAAACAUGUAGGUUUUUAUCAACAUUUCACAAAUGAAAAAGUAGAAAUCUAAAAGUUAAAUUAAAUAUUUCAACUUAAUUAUUUGGAAAAAUUGCUACACAAUCAACACUUGUUGGACCAUAGUGUAAAACAUCAAAGACAUUGUCAUGGAAAUAUAUCUGGGAUUUGUGCUUUAUUGAAAAACUAAUCUUGAAUGAUAUUAUUGUCCAUAUUUUUUUUGAAACUUUAUUUAGCUAACAACAC